CGGAACGCCCCCGUUUGGACGCGGAUAUGCAACCUGGUUUUGUUGUUGUUGUUUGUUUGUUGUUGUUUUUGGUUUUUUAGGAGGUGGGUUAUUCCGAAGGAAUUUGGCCCCAGGUUAUCGGAGCAGAGGGAUAAUUGCGGGUUUUAGGAUCCAGACGUGGUACGGGUGAAAAUGCUUCGUGCUUGCUUGAAGUUAAACCCGGCGGGGGAACGAUUGUUCCCACUGAACGUUCCCACAGGAGAACCCUUGGAGACACUACCUUUCCCACAGAAUUUCAUUCAAGGAGCUCAAAGGCCAGGUUAGUUUUACAACAUUCACUGUUACUGUAAGCUAAGCAAAGCCCACCUCCUCCACACUUCUUCUGAAAACUACAAUUUGUCUCCUGCUGCUUCUACCAUUUUAGUUUGUUAAUGUCAUAAUGAGCAUUGUUCCUAUAUCAUACCAGCCCAUCCAUCCCUCUCCACUUGGAAAUCCUCCGUCCCCCCUACCCUUUAGAGUUCAUAAUCUUUUUUUAUUAUUUUUAAUAUCCC
rnacentral:lncRNA from 1 species